AUACGGAGGAUCCGAGCGUUAUCCGGAUUUAUUGGGUUUAAAGGGUGCGCAGGCGGCCAUUUAAGUCAGCGGUUAAAUCGUGGGGCUCAACCCCAUUCUGCCGUUGAUACUGGUUGGCUUGAUUGCGGUCGAGGUUGGCGGAAUUCGUUGUGUAGCGGUGAAAUGCAUAGAUAUGACGAAGAACACCGAUUGCGUAGGCAGCUGACCAGACCGCAAAUGACGCUCAUGUACGAAAGUGCGGGGAUCGAACAGGAUUAGAUACCCUGGUAGUCCGCACAGCAAACGAUGAAUACUUGUUUUCGGCGAUAUAAUGUCGGAGGCAAAGCGAAAGCGAUAAGUAUUCCACCUGGGGAGUACGCCGGCAACGGUGAAACUUAAAGGAAUUGGCGGGG
rnacentral:rRNA from 1 species